CUUCGUGCUCCCUCUAAACCAAUAUCGUUGCCCCUAUUUUUCCUCUCUUCUAAGCAGCCUUGCUGCCGCAACCUUCAUGUUUCCGCUUAAGCUGAGCCUCAAUAAAGCCCCAUUGUCGUCAGGUUCCUCGUCCAGCCAUUUUUGCCUAAGCCCAACGCCAGCUGCUAUCGCAUUCUCGUGAAUCACAAUCGCUCGUCGUCGCCCCACUGUUUGCACCGUUAACUUCUUCUUCCUUGUGCACCGCUCGAAGAAGCCACGCCACCGUCGUCGCAUUUCACUAAGUCGUGCACCACCCGAGCCGUCCCUCACCUUCUAGCCACGAGCCAUGUGCGUGCCAACAACUUCCCUCUUCACCCGAGCCAUUUCCCUCAAAGCUGAGUCAUGUGUACGAGUUUCCUUUUCAGCCGUUUUGAGUUUUCUUGUGUUUGUAUGCUGCUUUUGCCUUGUUGUGGGUUUUGUGGUGUUGGAGUUGAGUUCUUGAAUUUCCAAAAAGCUUGACUUGGAGUUUGAUUCUCUAUUUACUUGGGUUGGUUCAUUGGACUUCAAUUUGACCAAGGAUCUUAGCUAAACGUAAGUUGCUGUCUUUCAAGGCUUCUCAAAAUGAGACGCAAAGGAAAGUUAUUGUCGAUCCACUCGUUUCUUCAGACACUCAUAGGCCACAGUCUUCUAUAAUUCACCUUUCACUUUAUUCCUUUCUAUCUUUGAUCAUGCUCUGAGUUUUGAUGUAACUAAUGAACCAUAACAAAUUGGCCUUUAUGAUAAUUCAUUGAUUUUGGUUUGACGGGUUUCUCUUUUGUAUGUAGAAAAAUGUAGCCUCAAAUAAGAAACCUGUAAACCAGUAUGCAAUGGCAGUUUACCCUAUAAACCAUACUAUUUUCUCUUUUGCCGGAGGGUUUGAGGAGAUUGCAUGUCGUCCACGUCUGUCUAGUGUCAUCUUCGUCUACCUCUUCUCUAAGGCUCUAGCUUUACCCUAGGACAUAUAUAUAUAUAUAUAUAUAUAUAUAUAUAUAUAUAUAUCUUCUUUUAGUAAAGCUGUUUGUUUAGUUUUAGAAUCGAUUUAAUGUCUUAAACCGGACCAAACCGCAUAAGAAGCGGUUUUAAUUUAAUACAAACUGAAUCGAACCACAUGCAUUUGGUUUUAAUUGAAUUUGUCAAUGGUUCAAUUUUCAACUAUUUUUUGAACAUUCCUAUUGUGCAUGGUUAUUUUCUUUUCAAACAACCACAAAUCUAAGAAUAUAAUAUAAGAAUAUAGUCAAAAUUUAUAUAAAUAAUUUCAUACCACAAAUGCUUCAAUAGGAGAAAAGUUUAGGAAAAUGAUUCUCUUUUAAGAAAUAAUGAUGGAAAAAUGUUGAGGGUAUGGAGGGAAAAUGUGAAGGAAAAUGGGAGAAGGAGAGGAAAGGAGAGAGCCGAGAGGUUUUGUGAACGACGAGAGGAUUUGUGUGAAGGAUUUGAAGAAGGUGGAGUUUUAAAGGAGAAGGGUGAGUCUUAGACGCCCUCUGUCACAAGAAAGUUUCUUCCCAUUCUGAAAAGAGGAGACUCGCCCCGAAUUUGUCCACUCUAUUUUGUUAAACCUUGCAUGUCUUCAGCCUUUGACUAUCUAUAUUUGACCUUUUUUUUUUAAAAUUAGAUCGAGGAUUCAACGCAGGACUCAAACACUUAAACUUGAAAUUAACUCGGAGCGAGUUUGAUAAUUUGUUUUGAACAACUUUAUUAUGAAAAUGUGUUUUGAAUAACAUUAUUAUUAUGAUAAGUUGUUUUGUAAGAGCAUUAUUUUGAUAACAAGUUCUAAAAAUAACAUUAUUAAAAUAAAUUGGGGUUUUUUAAUAGAGAAAAAUAAAAGGCAAUUUGGACUUUUCACAUCCCCUAAACAAAUUUCCACUCCUUCUUCAUUUGUGAAUCAGUCUCAUCUCUCUCACCACAUUUAGGCUCCAGAUCUUUCCUUUUGCCAAUCUCUCCCUAAGCUUCAUCGCUUCACCUCUAUUUUCAUCGAAUCGGUGAAAUCUCAUCAUGGAUUUGUUAUUGUGAUGCCACCAUAAUUUCUGUUCUACUUUUACUGUAAUUGACUAAUUGUUUUUUUUUUUUUUUUUUAUUAUGUCACUUCCGUUGGAUAUUGUUCGAGCCUCCUUAAUGGGUAAUUUUUCUUUUUACUUGUACAAAGUUUCCUAAACCCUAUAUCCAUAUGUGUGUUUGUGUGUCUCUACUUUUUCACAUUUCAGUAAUCGAUUUCUUGGGUGUGAUUCUGUGAGUUAGAAGAUGGCAGCAAAAUACAUAGUAGGUUCUUUACUUGGAGCAACUGCAGUUGCAUAUAUCGGUGACCAUCUUAUUUCUGACAAGAAAAUAUUCGGAGGAACAACUCCGAGUACCGUUUCAAACAGUGAGUGGUGGGAAGAAACUGACAAAAAAUUCCAAGCAUGGCCUCGUACAGCUGGUCCACCUGUGGUCAUGAACCCCAUCAGUCGCCAAAAUUUCAUUGUCAAAAGCCGCGACUCUUAAAUGUUACUUGGGUUGUCAACCUUUUUUUUGGAAAUACUUCCUAGUCAUUAAGCAGUUCUAAUCUGCUUUUUAUUUUGAGCGGUGAAAUUUGAAAGAUUUGUUGUUUGUUGUUGUGAUAGGCAUUCUUAUUUCCUGGUGUCAGGAUGUUCAUUCUAAAUAAAUCAGCGAAAAAAGAAACUUCCCCUCA